rnacentral:lncRNA from 1 species
AGCUUUGGUUCGAGCUCGUAUGGUGAAGUGAAGAGGAGAUACUGCAGUUUGGAGACAAGGGAAACCGAUUGCAAAGCUUUAUCCAUGACUCCGAUUCUGCUGAUCAAGAAUGGUUGAAGGUCGACGAUUCGCGUUGGGGAAAGACCUGGUAUGUAAUCCACCUUCUCUUCUUCAAUCCCUGAAUAAGCUCUUAAGUUAAACCUUUGACCAAACUGGUUGAUUUUACAUUUUUUUUCUAGGCUUCUGAAAUUUUGUAAUUACUUCUAAUUACCUGAGAAAUCAUCGAUCGGGAAAUGGCGGUGCUGACGGACGAGGUCAAAGUGGAGCAAAACGGAGAAGACAGUUGCCGACAUCGUCCACAGAGACGCCACGGGAAUUCCGCGGCG